GCCCGAUUGGCUCAAUUGGUUAGAGCGCUGCCUUCAGAUCCCGAGAUUGAGGGUUUGAUUCCCACUGGUA
rnacentral:tRNA from 1 species